rnacentral:rRNA from 1 species
GAUGAACGCUGGCGGCGUGCCUAAUACAUGCAAGUCGAACGCAGUGGGGUCGGGUUAGUAACACGUGGGUAACCUCCCAUCAGAGGGGAUAACACUUGGAAACAGGUGCUAAAACCGAUACUGAUGGAUGGUCCCGCUGUGCAUUAGCUUGUUGGUGAGGUAACGGCGCACCAAGGCCACGAUGCCUAGCCGACCUGAGAGGGUGAGCGGCCACACUGGGACUGAGACACGGCCCAGACUCCUACGGGAGGCAGCAGUAGGGAAUCUUCGGCAAUGGACGAAAGUCUGACGUAGCAAUGCCGCGUGAGUGAAGAAGGUUUUCGGAUCGUAAAACUCUGUUAUUAGAGAAGCGGGAUCUAACCAGAAAGCCACGGCUAACUACGUGCCAGCCGCCGCGGUAAUAC